GACGAACGCUGGCGGCGUGCCUAAUACAUGCAAGUAGAAGCUAGUUGCGAACGGGUGAGUAAUGUAUCGGAACGUUCCCAGUCGCGGGGGAUAACUACGCGAAAGCGUAGCUAAUACCGCAUUCCAUUGGAGCGGCCGAUAUCGGCGUAGAUAGAUGGUGGGGUAACGGCCCACCAAGGCGACGAGCCGUAGCUGGUUUGAGAGGACGACCAGCCACACUGGGACUGAGACACGGCCCAGACUCCUACGGGAGGCAGCAGUGGGGAAUUUUGGACAAUGGGGGAAACCCUGAUCCAGCCAUCCCGCGUGUGCGAUGAAGGCCUUCGGGUUGUAAAGCACUUUGGGCAGGGAAGCGGUACCUGCAGAAUAAGCACCGGCUAACUCCGUGCCAGCAGCCGCGGUAAUUC
rnacentral:rRNA from 1 species